AUGCUACAUUGCAAAAUCAAUCUAUUUUUUUUACCUUUAUCAAAUCAAAAUAAUUUAAAUUGCUACCAAUAAAUUAUGAAACUGGUUUUUAAUCAACGGCAUAUUCAACUGUCGUUUUAAAGUAAAACCUUUUUUGUGUGUUCAAUUGAUAAUAAUUACUGAUUUAACUUUAACUAUCCUUCAAUUGGUAAUGUGAAAUCAUUUUGACAAAAAAAUCAAUUAUCAAUUGACUUGGAAAUUAUGUUUACCAACAAAAUAUAAGCAAAAAUGAUCAAUUACUUACCUUUGUUGACCUUAUUUUGCUCUCUUCGGAUUUUCAAUUGAAUCUCUUCCAUCAAAGGCCAUCUUGUUGAUCUUUACCCAAAUAACGGACCCAUCUGUGGUCCAAUUGGUCUAGCGUUUUAAAUUGUAUCAACUGUUGUCCACUGGUUAUUGAUUAACUGGAGAUAUCAUUGGUUUGUUAACUGAUCACUUUGCUCGUCCAUUUAUUUUGGUUUGUUUGCAACUCGGAUUACACAAAAGGCUAACCAAUGGAUCAAGAUUGCGCUUGGAAAGGUUUAUUACCAACUUCAACUGAUUCUCUUUAUCCAACCAAUCCAAUGGCCAUUGUUGACGUUGAUGAUGAACAUUCAAUUGAACCAGAUUACCACUUAACGCCUGUCCAUGAACCUGUCGAAGAUGAGCCUAAAUAUGUUGUUAAACGUAACCGUGGUUCCACUGCUACAUAUCACCAACAGUCGAGUCCACCUUCAUCAACCUCUACUCCACCAUCUCAAACAACGUUACCAGCAAAUCCUUCCAUAAGAUCAACCACAACAACCCCUGUUACUAUGAUUGAUCCCAGUUAUACCAAUUACUCGUCAUCCGAUAAAGCAACGUUUAUACCAUGUAAUGGAAGUGGCGUUGGUGCCGAUGAAAGUAAUGGCAGUGCAAAAAGUGAUCGUUUUGACUUGGAUAAUGGUGGGACUACUAACACGGUUGGAUCACUUCCUACCCUUGGAUCAAGUAACCAUUCAGCUUACAAGUGUGGUAAACAAACUAAAAUAUUUCCCGGUCGUAUACGUAAACGUGUUGUCCUUAAAAAUGGGUCCGUUAAUCUGUCCAAAGAGCAUGUUGAAAAGCGUAGUCAACGCUAUCUUCAAGACACUUUUACUACCAUGGUUGAUAUUCAAUGGCGCUGGAAUCUCUUGGUCUUCUCUAUGGGCUUUCUUCUUAGUUGGCUUGGGUUUGCAGUUGUAUGGUACUUUAUAGCUUACGCUCACGGUGAUCUUGAGAGUGAAAUGGUUAACCAAAUUAGUGCUGAACCUAAUCCUAAUGUUAAUAAUCUUAAUAAUAACAAUGACAAUAAUAGUGUUAGUAACUCUAUUAAACCUUGUGUUCAAGGAGUUGAUUCGUUUACCUCAGCUUUUUUGUUUUCCAUUGAAACUCAACACACCAUUGGCUAUGGAAGUCGUUUACCAACCACCGAAUGUCCUGAAGCCCUACUUGCAAUAUGCGUUCAAGCCAUUACUGGAGUGAUGAUACAAUGUUUUGUGGUUGGUUUUGUGUUUGCCAAACUGUCUAGGCCCAAGAAACGGUCACAAACGUUAAUGUUUAGUCGAUCAUCUGUGAUUACCCUUCGUGAUGGUAAACUGUGUCUCAUGUUUCGCGUUGGUGAUGUCCGUAAUCGUUCUCACAUCAUUGGAUGUACCAUUUCAGCCUUGGUAAUUAAUCGAAAGGUUACCCUGGAAGGUGAAGUGAUACCCUUUUAUCACAACAAUUUAAAGGUUCGCUUUGACAACUCUGACUCCAACGUAUUCCUAGUCUGGCCAGCAACAAUUGUCCAUGAAGUAGAUAUUUAUAGUCCAUUUUAUGCUUUGUCAGCUGAUGAAUUGGCACGAGAAAAGUUUGAGAUUGUGGUAAUUUUAGAGGGAACCAUUGAAUCGACUGGUCAAUCAAUACAAGCAAGAACCUCUUACCUUCCUUGUGAAAUACUGUGGGGUCAUCGAUUUGAAUCCAUGGUAGCCUACAGACGGGACACGGGUCAAUAUCGAGUUGAUUAUUCCAAAUUUAACAACACUUAUGAGAUUGAGACACCAACUUGUUCAGCCAAAACCUAUUACGAGUACCAACGGUUUAUCCAGUGUUCAUCAGCUGCUCUUGGUGUGGUUGGACGAGGAGAGGGUAUAGUAACAGGUGGCGGUGGUGGUGGUGGAGGUAGUAGUGUUGCCUUACCUAUUGGCUCCGAGUCAGUAGGCUAUCAUCACAAUCCAUAUUAUAAUCACCAAUCUUCACAUCAUCACCAUGCCACUUCUUCAACUAAAUAUAAUGGACCAGUUACCACGGGAAACUUAUCAUCUUGUCUUUCAACUCGGGAAAUUGUCGAUGAAGAUGUAAUGGUGAUGAUGAUGAAAACCCAUUCUGGUGACUCUGGACUGGGACAUGGAAGUUAUGGGUUGCUUCCUUACUUUAAAGGCCCAAUACGUUUAGUCUCAAAAGACACCGAAGUGGCUGAUUAAUAAUAACUAAUUGUAUGUCUUUCGUUUCUCCUAUUUUUUUGCAUUUUUGUUUAACUUAGUUAAUGAUAUAUAUGAAAUAACCUUAUAAGCCUUGUUGAUUUUAAUUAUGCAUAAUCAUAAUAUAAUAAUAUAAAAAUAUUGGAAGAGUAGAGAUCCAGUGGAAAGUGAUGAUGAAUCUUGAUGGAUAUGGUCAUUGUUUUUAAAUUUACAAAAUGCUUUUUUUAAUGUCUCGCUACAAUCUGUGAUGUUUUUGAAACAAUCUGUUUCAAAUUCAAUGUUCAACUUUGUGAUCUUUUUAACCCAAACCAUUUUAAUCAAUGCUCUAAUCAAUAAGGUUUAAUUUUAUUGUUAACAAUCAAUUGAUAUGAGUAAACCUUCCCUAUUCACAAUUACCCUCAAUUUUCUCGUCACUUGAUUUGUAAUGUUUAAAUAUGCUUUGCUAUUCAUCUUUUUUUUUACUUAUUAGUUUAACCACAAUUACUGUACAAUAUGACAUCUUCAUCAUCAUCAAAAUCAUCAUUAUCAUCAUCAUCUCUGUCAUCCAUGAACAUUAUGAUGCCGACUUAAACAAUUUACAUAUUAUCAACCGGAUGAAUUUGUUGAUUAAAAAAUGUCCAUUUAUAUCAAUUAAAGGCUAAUUAGUGUCGACUUUUUGACUCAAAGCAUAAUAAACAGAAUUAGUUUUUAUCACAAUCAA